rnacentral:lncRNA from 1 species
AGCACUUUUCCUUGCUGCCGCCAUGAGAAGAAGUAUGUGUUUUCUUCCCCUUCUGACAUGAUUGUUAAGUUUCCUGAGGCCUCCCCAGCCAUGCUGAACUGUAUUGCCUCCAGCACACUGUUUACAUUCCUACUGUGUCUCAGCAUCUGUUCUCCUGGGAAUAGAACUGGUCCACCUGAACAUAUGAUCUGUGCUGCUGUUGGUGCAGGAGGACAGGAGGGAAAUAAGCUGGAAGCCAUGGAUGUGGAGAGUCUGGCUUCAAGAUGGAGCUUGUUUACCUGCAGGGCCCCAUGCAGAACCUCAUGAGACGUGACUUCAGAGGCCUCCUCUCUGAAGGUGAGGGAGGCGUCAGCUGUUCAGAGAGAGAGGCUGCCUUGCCUGGGGACACACAGCUAGCCAGUGGCCGGAGCAGCAGUGGAUGCAGUUGUCCUGAUGCAUAGUUCAAGAAGCUUUUUUUUUUUUUUUUUUUUUCACGUGUGAAAACAUCUAUUGGGAAAAUGGAAAAAUCAUUUGACCUCAUAUUCCUCAUAGCUGACAUGUCUCCUUGUUCCCACCCCACUGACCACUGAAUUGCUGCUUGAAUUGCCAGGAACUUCCUGGUGUGGCAGAAGGAAGACUAAGAACCAGGAAGUGGCUGACAAGAAAGGGAGCUGCAUUCUGCAACUGGAGUUAGUAUUUGCUCUGACCUAACACUUUGGGUGAUUCAUUGGGUCCUCCUGGAACCUGGUGUUCCUGCCCUCUUUUGGAGUUUCCUGCUUUCUUGAAUCCACUGCCAGAUAAUGCCGGGAUAAGAACUGACCAUGGAUGGAAACAAAGAUGCAGGAAGGGGAAAGCAGUUCGUGUGAAGGUCAAAACCUAGAAAGGUCAGGUCAUAAUUAAAUUAUUCCUUGGGAGGAUUAAAGGCCAACUGAAUCCCAUAAAUCUAAGACCGUAAAGGCAGAAUUGUAGCCAAUAGUUAUUAGACUCCCUGGGCAAAAGGAAAGGAACUUUCCCUGCCGAUCUGGAACCAGGUCAGGAAGAUUUGGGUCCCUGAUGGGAUCAGGGGAGUUGAAGGUGGGGAUGCCAAGGCAGGUAGUUUUAUGCCCCUGAAGGCCACUUUAGGCUAUAAAUAUAACAAAGAAGAUUGCAACCACACAUGGGUUAUUCUGAGAAACAGUGCUCCAUUUAUUUCUCACACCUGCAUUUUGUAUUUCACACCUACAUUUUUUUCCCACCUACCUUUUUGAUAGAAUGAUAAAGGUUCGAAAUGAUAGCUAGCAUUUGUUACACACUUACUAUGCCUGGCUUGGGCUUUAUAUUUACUCUCUCAUUUAAUCUCAUAAUAAUCUUAUGAGGCAGAUUCGCUUAUUUUCCUUCUUUUAUAGUUGACAAAACUGAGUUCAAAAGAGGGGUUAGGCCACUUGCCCAAGGUCACACAGCUGAAACAUGAACCCAGUCAGUCGACCCUAGAGCCUGCCCUCUUUACAGUAGACUACUUUCUUGAGAUCCUGACUGCUGAUGACUACAGGACCAGACAGUUUUGGAGGACUUUGGCUCACUGCAUGGACCUAAAGAGGACUUGAGCCUCAGUUGUUCUGCAGCCUCUGUUACUUAACCUGCAUUCUUCCUGAGGUCCCUGUUUAACCAUAAGGUGCACAGAUGCAGGGAGAGGACCGAGAAGGGAGUUGGGGAGACAUCAUCGUCCUGGGCCUGGGCCUAUGUGCACUGCACUGAGGGCAGCAAAGUAUGGUGGUUAAGACCACAGGCUUCAGAGUCAUACCUGGGUUCUGACCCACUUCUUAGCUGGGUGACUUGGGUAGUUACUUCACCUCUCUAAGCCUCACUUUGCUGAUCUAAAAAGUGGGGAUGAUAUUAGUAUACAUCAAAAGGUUAAAAAGUUAAUAAAUGUUAAAGUACUUAGCAUUUUGCAUGCCACUUUUCUGGCAGUAAACAAAUGGUAUCUAAAAGCAACAGCAACAACACUCUUGUGAUGCAAUGUGUCUUCAGCUAAAUGUCUGUGUUACCUAUGACUAGUUCCAGAGAUGCAAAAUCAGCGGUAGCUGGGUGUAGAGAAAAGAGUCUCCCAGGAUAAAGCUGUCAUGCUUCUGCCUUUUCCCAGUUUGCAGGCCCAUGUCACUCUUCUCCUUCCCUCAGAAGAUGCUUGGGCUGGGAUCUGGCCCAACCAGCUGCCUUCAAUCCUCUCUGCCAGCCCUCCACCAUGAGUACCUG